GACGAACGCUGGCGGCGUGCCUAAUACAUGCAAGUCGAACGCAGUGGGGACGGGUGCGUAACACGUGGGUAACCUCCCAUCAGAGGGGAUAACACUUGGAAAAAGGUGCUAAACCGAUACUGAUUGAUGGACCCGCUGUGCAUUAGCUAGUUGGUGAGGUAAAGGCUCACCAAGGCCACGAUGCAUAGCCGGGCUGAGAGGGUGAUCGGCCACACUGGAACUGAGACACGGUCCAGACUCCUACGGGAGGCAGCAGUGGGGAAUCUUCGGCAAUGGACGAAAGUCUGACCGAGCAACGCCGCGUGAGUGAAGAAGGUUUUCGGAUCGUAAAACUCUGUUGUUAAAGAAGCGGUAUCUAACCAGAAAGCCACGGCUAACUACGUGCCAGCAGCCGCGGUAAUUC
rnacentral:rRNA from 1 species